rnacentral:rRNA from 1 species
GGAUUAGGCAUGCAAGUCGAACGGGAAGCUUUUUCUUCAAUCUUUCGAGAAAGAAGAGAGAGAGGAUAGUGGCGAAAGGGUGAGGAACACGUGGGCAAUCUACCUCUAAGUUGGGGACAACCUUGGGAAACCGGGGCUAAUACCGGAUGUGGUCAUUUAUCGCAUGGUGGAUUGAUUAAAGGUGGGGAAUCUUCGGAUCCUGCCGCUUAGAGAGGAGCCCGCGUCCCAUCAGCUUGUUGGUAAGGUAAUGGCUUACCAAGGCUUACGGGUAGCUGGUCUGAGAGGAUGGUCAGCCACACUGGGACUGAGACACUGCCCAGACUCCUACGGGAGGCUGCAGUCGAGAAUCAUUCGCAAUGCCCGAAAGG